rnacentral:rRNA from 1 species
GAUGAACGCUAGCGGCAGGCUUAACACAUGCAAGUCGAGGGGCAGCAUGAGACGGAGAUUCGUCGAAGCCUUGAUGGCGACCGGCGCAAGGGUGCGUAACGCGUGAGCAACUUGCCCGUUUCUGGGGAAUAACCGGUGGAAACGCCGACUAAUACCCCAUAGUAUUGAGUUUAGGCAUCUUUACUCAAUUAAAGAAUUUCGGAAACGGAUAGGCUCGCGUGACAUUAGCUGGAUGGCGGGGUAACGGCCCACCAUGGCUACGAUGUCUAGGGGUUCUGAGAGGAAGGUCCCCCACACUGGAACUGAGACACGGUCCAGACUCCUACGGGAGGCAGCAGUGAGGAAUAUUGGUCAAUGGUCGGAAGACUGAACCAGCCAUGCCGCGUGAAGGUCACGGCCCUAUGGGUCUUAAACUUCUUUUGUAAGGGUAGCAAUAAGGCGUACGUGUACGUCGAUGAGAGUACCUUACGAAUAAGCAUCGGCUAACUCCGUGCCAG